GUUUUAAUCACAAAAAGAAGGCAAACAGAAACAGUUCACAAACCAAGUACACUUUUUCAUGUUUUCUUUUUUAUAAUCAUAUCUACAUUAAGUGUCAAAUAUCACAACUUUCAGUUUUUGGAUGACUUAUAACAAACAAGACAAUAACAAAUUACAGUUGAAACCAGGCAUUAUGAGAUAUAUGCCCCAUUUUCAAUAAUUUAAUGUAAGUUUAGAUGUUAAGCUGGGGGGGCUGUUUGUCUGUCAGUAUGUCAGUCAGUCUGUCCGUGUGUCCUAAAUAUAGAAAUGCAGAGUCAGUCUCUAUGAUGGUCCAUAUUUUACUGUUGACUCUGCAGACAAGUAGUGUUGUCAAUAAGGAAUUGGUUUCAUAGUGUUAGUAAUCAAAUCCACAGAUGCCUCUUCGUCUACUAAAAUACCCUCACAACACGUACACACAGUUAUACAACAACACAAAGAUAUAUCAUCUGUCUAUCAUACAUACACUCAGUGAAUGGCAGGCUACUACCAACACUUAUUCCCUUUUCAAAUAUUUUCUUUGGACUCACACGGUCCAUGUACAGUUGAAAUGACAUUGGCCCCCGGAAAUGCUUAAUAUGGAGUGUUUGUAUUGAUAGUAAAAACAGGACAGAGACCACUGUGAAAUGGUGAAUAAAUAAGGUUAAAGACAGACGUGACAAUGUGACCCGAUCCAACUAGCCUAUUGAAGUAGCACCUUGCAUUGUUCUGCCACACUUGCCCAGACCAGUGUAUAAAACCUUUUCCAAACAAUGAGUAUACAUGGCUGUUGGUGGAAUUCCAGUGUUUUAGAUUGAAUUAAAUAAAAUAUAUAUUUGUUUUAUACAGGAAACAAGAUUCUACAUGUUACUACUAAAACUUGUAAUAUAUUUACUUUGUAGUUCCAGUGCCUGCCUUAAUUAGUGCCCUAAGAAUAGGCUAGAUCAGUGGUUCUCAAGCAGGAGUUUUAAGACAAGGAGUACUAGAUACUGGGGCUACUUGGCCUAUUCACAGGCGUACAUGAGAAGACUCAUAAAACCACAGGCUGGUGAAACUGGUGAAAUGCAAUGGGGGACAUUUCAGAAAGAAAUUCAGUUUGUGGUACAGUAACCAGAUUAGGCUGGGAACCCCUGACCUUGCUGAUGUCAUGAUGAAGUAGCACUUGAUCAUAAUGAAUACACCGCUCGGAUCUGUCAACGCUAUACGUCGAUCCAGAAGUCUGAGCUCAUAGAAAUGUCAUUGUUGGCCCAUCCUUAUUUGUUGUUGUCCUUCCAUUGCUGUGGUCUCACAGUCCUCCCCUUGGUACAUCUUUUGUGUGCCAGUCUUCUUCCCCAGCAAGCAAAGUUGGUUGAAAGGUGUCUUGUCAAUGUCUUUUUGAACAAAAACACAUCUUCACCAUGCUCACAUGGUCUGCUUAAUAAUAGAAAAUAUUUUCGGACUGAGAGGGAAGAACUUUAGUCUUGGAUUUCUCUACAAGUCUGAAUCAGCCCACUGGUCGGGUCUCGAAGAACCACAAUAAGCCAUGACAGUGAAAAGCAUACAAAGAUUUUUGAACCAGACUCGACAUCUGGGGACCAAAGUGGUUUUCUGCACUGUUCAAUAACAAGUACAGAGGGAUCUCCAAGAACAAUGAUUCCAACAACCGCACCGUCUCCUUGUGAACGUUCCAGCGUCCGACUGGUGAAGCAUCCGGUUGCUUUCAGGAGAUAUUAUCAGGAUCAGAGAUAUGUUGAGGGAUCAGCACAAUCUCAUGUUCAUCCCACUGCUCUCGACCCGCCGUCACAAGGGUUGGUUACUGGUUCACCAGACACGUUUAUUAGUAGUAUUACGGAAUACCUCAUGGCCGUAGGAUGAGCAGGUCACUGACACAUUAAUGUUCACUCACAGGAAGGAAAACAAACCGCUGGGCAACGUUACAGCAUCACUCAAUGGGUGAAUAGACU
ensembl:lncRNA